GAAAAAUUUAGUUAAACUAUAACAUUAACUUGUCGAGUUAAAAUCAUCUUUUAGAUAAUUUUU
rnacentral:tRNA from 1 species